GGAUAUAGCUCAGUUGGUAGAGUGCUUGCCUAGCAUACUACAAGGACCUGAGUUCAAUCCCUAGCACCA
rnacentral:tRNA from 1 species